ensembl:lincRNA Gm829 predicted gene 829
GGGAAUCUUGUCCUAACAGGGCAGGUCAUAUUGUCUCAUUUUUACUUUUAAUGGAGGAAUAAAUUUUAUAAUUGAGAGCCAUGCUAAACUCUCCACCAGUGGAGCUACAUCCCCAGUGCCUAGGUCAAUUUUUUUUCCAGGAAAUAAUGGAUGUGACAUGACUUUGGAAGACAAUUUACAGUGUGAGAAGCAUGGACUCCUGAGUGGUGAAGGCUAUCCAUUGCUGCAUUGAAAGGAACCUGGACAAGUGGCUGGAAGCUGGUCUGACUUCUCUGCCAGAAGUUGCUUCCUCUCCUUUGCUGCUGGGCAGUCACGGAGGCUUCUUGCCCUGACUGCCACGUGCCAGCCACCACCUGUCCUCGCUUGAGUGAGGAGCAGGUGUAGCUCUCUUGGUUCUUCUCAUUGGGCCUAUGAGAGGAUUAAUUAGUUGGGGCUGGGGACUCUGGAUUUGCUGUACAGCGGAGUG